UACUUCAUGGUUCGUAAACUACAAGACAUUCAACAAUGCACGAGAACAGUUUUAAAAAGCGGAGUUUAUAAAUCGCGCGAUAAUCUUGCUGUGGAUUGUACAAAGCGAAGUAUAAUUCAACCUCAAACUAUAUUUACAUGCCUGUUUUAUUUCAUUGAAUUUUUCUUCGCUAAAUGUCGUUUAAUUAUGAACAAAACUCGUGUAGUUUCAUUAAUAUGCAAUUCUAUCGAACAGACGUAUAAGUUUAAUAAUCUAGUAUUUUGAUUAUUUUCAUUAUUCCUAUCGAAGCAAAUUCUAAGGUACGAUUACGUGGCGGUAAAGGUUGCGUUUGUGUACCUCACGUUAAAUUGGUAAAUUGUAUUGUCAUAUUGGGUCUUUCGAUUAAACUUUUCGAAUUCAUUAACAUAUUAAAUUCGUAAUUUGAAGGGUUCAGAUAUUACAGACGUAGCACCGGCAAAAAGAAAAUGUCGUAAACAAUUCUGUUGUCCAUUGAAAGAAUUCAAUGGAAAUUUAAUAGACAUAGAAAACAUGAGAAACAAACAAGACCUUGAUCACCCAAUAGGAAUUGGCAUCAGAAAUUUUCCACAAACACAAUACACGCCAGUGAGAUUCAAAAAAUUAAUAAUACCAAGAAACGGUACAAAAUUAAGGUGUUAUACCUUAAAAAAUAUAACUGAUUUGCCAAAAUUGUCAAACACCGGAAGAGCAUUUAAUAUCAAAGUAAGAAUUAUUAUGUAGUAGAACAAUGUAAUAACAAUUUGUACCGACGAAGAAUAUCAAUAACGUUCUGUGCACGUAAGUAACAAUGCUAUUUGUAACUAUUGCGCAGUAGAAAAUAUUUGGUGAUUCGGAUAAGAAGAAAUUACACUCAAAAUUCAUGACUGAAUUGUCAAGAAAAAGAAACAUAUUGAACGGAACAACCUUAGAGAACAUAAGUAGAGUCAGCAUUCUUCUUUUAUAUCUUCACCUUUUGCUGUAUUAUUAUCUCUCUUUUUCAAAAACACGAUUUGCCAAAUUUUUUGAAACAUGUCCCAUAGAUGACAAUGAAAGUUAAAUAUACAUAUACUAUAAAUGUAUUAAAAAAAAAAAAAGACAAUUAAGUGUUGUUAAUAAGCAGUAUACAUAUAUUCUCUGUUCCAUUUAUUUGA